CGAUUUUUAUUUUUAUUUUUUUUUCGUUGGACGAUAUUUUGAAGAACUAGGUUCUGUUUUUAUCUUAUCGAAUCCCUGAAAAUCCACCAAACUUGCGCCGGUAUAGCAAGUACUUUGAUUUUUCUCCUUCCCGUUCAACUCGGUUGACACACUCAAGGAGCUUCUCAGGCGAAGCAAUGGUGGUGCCUCUCUUCAACCUCGUCCCCAAUCUUACCGACUCUGAGUCUGAUUCUUUGGCCCUCCCUCUCAUCCUCAAAUAUAAAUUCAUUCGUCGCAGGGACGAUGACUUUCGGCGAGCAAAACACGUUUGCGGAGUCUUUUGGCCUCCUCAACCAAGCUUUCCAGCCAGGCAUCAAUUUCUUCGACAGUACAAAAAUGUAUCCAGUGGUUCAGCGAGCCCAGACUCAGGGUCAGGGUAGGAGCGAGGAGCGUCGUUUUGGCCACCAAGGUACCGUCUGGGAAGAUGACUUCUAUACGAGAUGGCCCCAAGUGUUUGAAAGGCCAUUGACGGCAGGUUUGGUAAAGCAAACAGACCCGCCCUGGCGCCCAGACCCUCCUAGACUCGCCCUGGCCGCCUAGGCGCCGCCUAGAUCCGCCCAGACAGCCUAGGCGCCGCCUAGAUCAGCCCAGACCGCCUAGGCACCGCCUAGAUCCGCCCAGCCUAAAGGAGAUGAGUUUGAGAACGUAUUUGAGGUUCUUUGCAGUUUAAGCAGGGCUAAAGUUCUUACCCUAAAUGAAGAGACCGUUAAGGCUCUGUUUCGGGGAGGAUCCAUGCCACCACCAUUAAAUAAUGUUUGUUCUCUGGGUCUGCGGAUUGGAAAUGUUGUUGAUGAGUUAGUCCCAGCUAUGGUUUCUCUUUUUAGAGGAAUGCCAAAUUCGUGUAAUAUGCUCAUAAAUACUAAGUCACCUCUGGAUGACCCUAAAUCUAAUACAACUGGGUUUAAUAUGGGAUAUUGAAAGAUGCAAAACCCCGCUUUUAUUAAUCAGCUUAAGGAUGUUACCAUAAAGCUUUCUGAUGGGUCUAAUGGAGUUGAGAUAGUAAGGUAUAUGCUCGAGUGUGCUCAGAAUUUGGAGAAAAUGCUCAUAAUUUGAUUACCCCAGAAUUUGGAUGACAAUAUGAGGAGGUUAGACGAAAGCAAGAAAAUUUCCCAUGCCACAGUUCUGUUCAAGGAAAGUCGAGACUUCUUACUGUGAAUGUUGAUGGAUCAAUUGUCGCAAUUAUUUGAGGUGCUUUCCCGUUUAUCUAUGGUUGAAGAUCUUUUUCUAAAUGACACGACCAUUAAGACAUCUGGGUUUGACAUGGAAUAUUGGAAGAUGCAAAACCUUGAUUUUUAUCAGCUUAAGAAGCUUACCAUAGAGUGUUACAAUUAUGACUUGAAUGGAGUUGUGUUAGCAAAGUAUAUCUUCGAGCAUGCUCAGAAUUUGGAGGAAUUUGCUAUAUAUCCCUAUCAGGCGUAAAUUUUAAUUUUAAGAGGAAGCUAUAGAAAAAGAAAGACGGUUUGGAAUGCCACAGUUGUUUUUGUAGAAAAUCAGAAAUAGAACAGAAAAGGCUCCUUUGAUAUUUUUGUAGAUGUUAAUUAUUAUUUUUUUAUGCGAUUUGUAGAAGUUAUUUGUGUGAA